GAUGAACGCUGGCGGCGUGCCUAAUACAUGCAAGUCGAGCGAACAGACGAGGAGCUUGCUCCUCUGACGUUAGCGGCGGACGGGUGAGUAACACGUGGAUAACCUACCUAUAAGACUGGGAUAACUUCGGGAAACCGGAGCUAAUACCGGAUAAUAUAUUGAACCGCAUGGUUCAAUAGUGAAAGACGGUUUUGCUGUCACUUAUAGAUGGAUCCGCGCCGCAUUAGCUAGUUGGUAAGGUCACGGCUUACCAAGGCAACGAUGCGUAGCCGACCUGAGAGGGUGAUCGGCCACACUGGAACUGAGACACGGUCCAGACUCCUAAGGGAGGCAGCAGUAGGGAAUCUUCCGCAAUGGGCGAAAGCCUGACGGAGCAACGCCGCGUGAGUGAUGAAGGUCUUCGGAUCGUAAAACUCUGUUAUUAGGGAAGAACAAGUGUGUAAGUAACGAUGCACGUCUUGACGGUACCUAAUCAGAAAGCCACGGCUAACUACGUG
rnacentral:rRNA from 1 species